UGUAGAAUCUUGCCGGUAUCAAUUCUAAUUGAACAGUUGUGGGUCGAAGAUGAGUCUUGAUUCAAAUCGUAAGAUUAAAUAGCUUUUAGUACUGGUUUGUUUUUCCAAUUAGAAGUCAUGUGAAAGUAUUUAAGAAUGUAAGCUAUCAUAGAUUUGCCGGAGUUCGUGAUUGAACAUAUCUAGACUUCAAGAGUGUUUCUGGAUUUUUUCGUGUUUCGUCGUCUGGUGCUUCGUUGUUGCUGCAAGGAUUCGAAUCGUGGUCUUUCCAGGGUUUGCCGGCGUUGCUUUGUCGUGUACAGUUCGUGACGCUGUUUCAAACUGGGUUGGGGCAGUCUGUGGUUUUGAGGUGGAUUCCGUACCUUAGGUGUUGACUUGGUGGGUUUGCCGUUCGUCGUGUUGGAAAUGUGGCAUUCGAGUGGCGCUGUGUCGCUGUUCUAGCCUUGGAUCUGCUGUGGCGAUCAUCUGCAGACGUUUCCUUAUGGGUCUGGUGUCACGUUCACCGUGGGGUCGGAACGGCGUGUGGUGUUCUUAUCGAACUGUAUGCUUCCAGACUUCAGGUGUUCUGCUGGUGGGGUUGUCGAUUCAGUUUUUCGGCGUGUACGGAGUGCGGCAAUUACUUCAUGCCAUGCAGUUUCCCUUGCUGUUGUGGUGUAAUUCGCUUUUCUUUUCGCAUUUUGCUAUUCGGAUGAUUAACUCUUAUACCGCCCCAGACUGAAGGGUUGUGUUGAGUGGUAACACGCUGACCGUAGUUGCGUUCAUACGAAGUUUUUCCACUGUGUAUCGAAAUUAAUGGUGGUGUGUUUAAUUUUUCUUCAGGGUUUGCUGUGGCAAAUUGCUGUCGGCAUAUCGUCAUGGCGCCAUUAUGGGUAAGUCGGUUGUUGCUUGUCUAUAAAGAACAUUCAUCGCGAUCGCCACACGUCCAUCCCAUCAGUGGGAUGAGUUGUGCCAAGAUAACGAACGGGGAUAAGAAAUAGCUGCGUAGGAAGCAAUCGAGAUUGUAUCAUGUCUAUGGGUUGUGCCGUUUACGUUGGCGACAGUUUGACAUCGCUCAUAUUCCGAUAUUCUUCGUCUUCUAAUAUUUAUUUCUUGAUAGGACCGAAUUGGUUGCAGAUCCAGCUAUGGAGCCGUUGAUUGUGCUCUAGAUGGCCUUUUCCAUUCCCCCGGUUCUGUUUGACUAGUUGCCAGCAACUAAUCGUGUUACCGCUCCCUUCUAGUGAGCACUUUUGUUCUUUAUUUUAAAACAAUGAAUUCUAUGGUCACGCUAGUAUAAUCGACGGGAUUAAGUAUCUCAUUUAGCGUUUCUUGCUCUUUAAGCUGGGGUUAUGAUUUGUUCUUUACCGGAAUGAUGUGUUGAUUAUUGGUAAUUUGUUUCAUGCUGCAAAUGCCUUGUGUUCCAGAAUUGCGACGUGGGGCAGUCGACGGAUAUGUAAUCAGGAGUUCACUGGUGCGGUUGCUGUGGAGAUUGGUUACGUACAACAUUCUUGGUAUG